rnacentral:lncRNA from 1 species
CUUAAACUACUACUCCAAGUUGUAUAUAUUUGGUCUCAAAAUACAUAUACAACUGUUUGAAUUUCUGAGAGAGUACUUGUACUUAGUUGUACCAUCAGGCUAUAUAAUAUUGGUGAAAUUUGACAAAUUAAUAUUUUUAUUUCAUGAUGCAGGGUUCAGACUCUCUAGCAUCUUGGCAAGCAAACCUCUUCUUUGAGCCUACAAAGUUUGAGGUAAUCGUUUAUUCAUUGUUAUGCUGCAACAAGAACAGUUGAUAAGAAAAAACACCAAAGCACUCAUAAUCUAUUCUCUUACAGAACACAGAAGUAAUUGUUCACAGAGGAAUAUAUGAAGCUGCAAAAGGAAUAUAUGAGCAAUUCAUGCCGGAAAUUUUGGACCAUUUGAAAAGACACGGGGAUCGUGCGAAGCUUCAAUUCACCGGACAUUCCCUCGGGGGAAGUCU